AAUCAACGCUGGCGGCAUGCCUUACACAUGCAAGUCGAACGGCAGCAUGGGUGCUUGCACCUGAUGGCGAGUGGCGAACGGGUGAGUAAUGCAUCGGAACGUACCCGGAAGUGGGGGAUAACGUAGCGAAGGUUACGCUAAUACCGCAUAUUCUGUGAGCAGGAAAGAGGGGGAUCGCAAGACCUCUCGCUUUCGGAGCGGCCGAUGUCGGAUUAGCUAGUUGGCGGGGUAAAGGCCCACCAAGGCAACGAUCCGUAGCGGGUCUGAGAGGAUGAGCCGCCACACUGGGACUGAGACACGGCCCAGACUCCUACGGGAGGCAGCAGUGGGGAAUUUUGGACAAUGGGGGCAACCCUGAUCCAGCCAUGCCGCGUGAGUGAAGAAGGCCUUCGGGUUGUAAAGCUCUUUCGGCUGGGAAGAAAUCGCAUCUCCUAAUACGGGGUGUGGAUGACGGUACCAGCAUAAGAAGCACCGGCUAACUACGUGCCAGCCGCCGCAGUAA
rnacentral:rRNA from 1 species